GAGUUUGAUCCUGGCUCAGGACGAACGCUGGCGGCGCGCCUAACACAUGCAAGUCGAACGAGAGAGAAGGAGCUUGCUCUUCAAAUCGAGUGGCGAACGGGUGAGUAACGCGUGAGGAACCUGCCUCAAAGAGGGGGACAACAGUUGGAAACGACUGCUAAUACCGCAUAAGCCCACGGCUCGGCAUCGACCAGAGGAAAAAGGAGCAAUCCGCUUUGAGAUGGCCUCGCGUCCGAUUAGCUGGUUGGUGAGGUAACGGCCCACCAAGGCGACGAUCGGUAGCCGGACUGAGAGGUUGAACGGCCACAUUGGGACUGAGACACGGCCCAGACUCCUACGGGAGGCAGCAGUGGGGAAUAUUGCACAAUGGGGGAAACCCUGAUGCAGCGACGCCGCGUGGAGGAAGAAGGUCUUCGGAUUGUAAACUCCUGUUGUUGAGGAAGAUAAUGACGGUACUCAACAAGGAAGUGACGGCUAACUACGUGCCAGCCGCCGCGGUAAUAC
rnacentral:rRNA from 1 species